GAAGGUAGGUCCUUCGGCAUCGGCAUGCAGGUGCAGGUGUCAAACCGCCCCGAGCUGCUGCGGUGAAUGAGCCGUGGUGGUGAGCGUGCGGGGAAAAGCCUUGCAGGACAAGGCAGGU
rfam:Mycobacterium sp. 852002-51759_SCH5129042 contig_26, whole genome shotgun sequence.